CCUACGGGCGGCUGCAGUGGGGAAUAUUGGACAAUGGGCGCAAGCCUGAUCCAGCCAUGCCGCGUGAGUGAUGAAGGCCUUAGGGUUGUAAAGCUCUUUUAGCAGGGACGAUAAUGACGGUACCUGCAGAAAAAGCCCCGGCCAACUUCGUGCCAGCAGCCGCGGUAAUACGAAGGGGGCUAGCGUUGCUCGGAAUCACUGGGCGUAAAGCGCACGUAGGUGGGUCGUUAAGUCGGGGGUGAAAUCCCAGAGCUCAACUCUGGAACUGCCUUCGAUACUGGCGACCUUCGAGUUCGGGAGAGGUGAGUGGAACUGCGAGUGUAGAGGUGAAAUUCGUAGAUAUUCGCAAGAACACCAGUGGCGAAGGCGGCUCACUGGCCCGAUACUGACACUGAGGUGCGAAAGCGUGGGGAGCAAACAGGAUUAGAUACCCUUGUAGUC
rnacentral:rRNA from 1 species